rnacentral:rRNA from 1 species
ACACAUGCAAGUCGAGGGGAAACGACAUCGAAAGCUUGCUUUUGAUGGGUGUCGACCGGCGCACGGGUGAGUAACGCGUAUCCAACCUGCCCACCACAUGGGGAUAACCUUGCGAAAGUAAGACUAAUACCCAAUGAUAUCUCUAGAAGACAUCUGAAAGAGAUUAAAGAUUUAUCGGUGAUGGAUGGGGAUGCGUCUGAUUAGCUUGUUGGCGGGGUAACGGCCCACCAAGGCGACGAUCAGUAGGGGUUCUGAGAGGAAGGUCCCCCACAUUGGAACUGAGACACGGUCCAAACUCCUACGGGAGGCAGCAGUGAGGAGUAUUGGUCAAUGGACGAGAGUCUGAACCAGCCAAGUAGCGUGCAGGAUGACGGCCCUAUGGGUUGUAAACUGCUUUUAUAAGGGAAUAAAGUGAGUCUCGUGAGACUUUUUGCAUGUACCUUAUGAAUAAGGACCGGCUAAUUCCGUGCCAGCAGCCGCGGUAAUACGGAAGGUCCGGGCGUUAUCCGGAUUUAUUGGGUUUAAAGGGAGCGUAGGCCGGAGAUUAAGCGUGUUGUGAAAUGUAGACGCUCAACGUCUGCACUGCAGCGCGAACUGGUUUCCUUGAGUACGCACAAAGUGGGCGGAAUUCGUGGUGUAGCGGUGAAAUGCUUAGAUAUCACGAAGAACUCCGAUUGCGAAGGCAGCUCACUGGAGCGCAACUGACGCUGAAGCUCGAAAGUGCGGGUAUCGAACAGGAUUA